rnacentral:lncRNA from 1 species
ACAGCUGGGAACAGAGGACCCUGGAGCCCAAAGUUGCAGGACAGGAGAGGGGCCUGGGGUCAGGGAGGUGGUAUUCACCCUUGGCCGGGAGGGGCUUCUCCCUUGGAUGGAAACCCAGCCUUCAUUUUAAUAAAAGGGCUACUAAUGCGUGUUAGGCUCUCUGGGGUGGGUUGUUCUGUAAUGAAAUGAAGACCUUGUUUAGCGCCUCUGGACAAGGCUUAUGCUUUCUUUAUGGAAUCUUCGGGCUUUAGAGCUGAACAGAACUCAAGCCAUCACUGUGCUCUCCCAGCCAUCCACCCAGGGGCCCUGGGUGCCAGGAGGUUCUGCAUUUAACCAGAAGAUUCUGCUGAAUGAAGAAUAUUCGACGUAUUCCUUUGUGUCUUCACAUGCCUCCAAGGUUGAAUUUCUGGGACUCAGAAAUACAGAUACAGCAGCAUCUCCCAUUUCACGGAUGAGGUCUUACCAGGAGCACAGUCUCAAGGACUUAACUUGUCUCCAGCUUGGUCUUGGAAAGAAAUAUUUUAUCCCCGGGUGCAAACACAGAAAACAGAUACGGGGAAAAGAUCUUGAACUGGAAUUGAUCCUUUGCUAACAUCCAUCCUGCUUCCAGGUUUAUGCAUCCAGAAAACAACAACUGCUUCUUUAUCGAGAGAAAGAAAUCUGAAGGCACUCUCAGAUUGCAGAUACGUGAGUGAAUUGUAUGUGUGUAAGAGAGUGGUGUGUAAUUCCAAAGAUUCUUUCUAGCUCCCCUACUUUCCACAACCCAUCAACAACUUAAGACUAUCAACAGCGUUUUCUUUCUUUUUUUAUAGGAAAAAACACCCCCAGAAUUUGUUCUGCUUGAAUUACAGAAAACAAAGAAGCUUCACGAUGAUUCUUUCCUAGGAGACUUUCCCAUCUUCAGAAAACACCUUUCUCCUGUUCAAAUGGACCAUUGUGUUCUGGGGUAACAGUAAAGACGGGCCCUUGAGUGUGUGUAAGCGAGUUGUGUGUAUGUGGAUGAUUUGUGGGUGU